GACAGAGGGUGCAAACGUUGUUCGGAAUUACUGGGCGUAAAGCGAGUGUAGGCGGUCUCCUAAGCCGGGUGUGAAAGCCCCGGGCUCAACCCGGGAAGUGCACUCGAAACUGGGAGGCUAGAGUAUCGGAGAGGUUGGUGGAAUUCUCGGUGUAGAGGUGAAAUUCGUAGAUAUCGAGAGGAACACCGGUGGCGAAGGCGGCCAACUGGACGAAUACUGACGCUGAGACUCGAAAGCGUGGGGAGCAAACAGG
rnacentral:rRNA from 1 species